UGCAUUUGACUCCCAGGAAGGAAGGAAGAGCUUGAACACCAUUGUUCUAGUUAUUAACUUAAACUGCAGGCACAGAAGUUUCCACAGACUUUUUCUGUCACACCAGCUACCUCCUCUACAAACAACGCCCUGAGAGAAACAAAUUAUGAAUCUUAGAACAGCUGCAAGAGGCUUUGUAGCUUUCCUUCUGUCAUUACCAGCUCAGUGUUCAGCAUGUAUCUCUAGUUGAAGCUGCACCAAGCCUCCAUCUCAUAUGUACCUUGUGAUCAUGCAUUUCAUCUGAAACAUCAUUGU